UUUUAUUCGGAGUCAGUGUCUCGUGGCCUAAUCUGCAAAACCUAAUCGUACGAAGAAAAUCGUACGAAGAAAAAUACUAUAAAUAAAAGCUUUCGUUAUGCAAUUUAAUGGACGCUGGUUUAAUCAAGAACGUCAGCUUCACCACAUGAACAGUUUACGCGAUGAAUUACCGAGGCUACACCUUCCUCAAGGCUAUCUGUAAAUUGUAGCGAGAUACGUGGGGGUGGGAUUAACUAAAUGAGGAUAUCUCAAGGGAGGAUUAAGCGACUGUCUGUGCGCGGUCGUAAGCGAGGGCAUUAAGAUUUCCGAUUAAUGUUGUCCCAUCGAUUUUGGGAUCACGUAAAUAUAUGUAUAAAGAUAAUUUAUAAAACAAAAGAAGCGCUGUACUUCGUUAAGGAUGCAUCGGUCGCGCAGGAUAAGCGAACAGUUUCGCUUGCGGCUAUUCCUCAUUGAGUAGCUAGCCAGCGCAAACACACGCCCGAGACAAAAUCCAUGAAUAUGCAAGCUCGAUCCAGUGGCCGUUGUUCAUUUCUGAAUAUCCGAUGAAUUUACGCGCGAAUGUUUUCCCUGCAUCGCUCAUGUCUGUCUCGGCAGAACCACGGCUGCCACGACUAGAACGAAAGCGGUGCGAAACGACACCACCAUGUGUUGACCCGAAGCAAAGCAUCGGGAAUAGCGAGACACGCUCGUACGUCUGUGCCAAAAUUUCGACUCGUGAAAGACACUCGCGGAGACAACGACGAUUCACGGCAGAGAAAUGCGAUACUGCACGGAUAUGAAAUUUUGGGGACUUCUAUCUGGCAGACAUAUAUUUUUUUCGCUUUUUGUAACAUGCAAACGUCUCCAAACAUCUUUAAUCCUAUUAUUUCAAUUUUAAGGACAUAUUUCGAUUUAUGACACACGUCGUUUCGUAAUUUUUAUGUGGAACGAUAAGCAAAAUCAACAACAAUCGUGAC